AGAGCGAACGCUGGCGGCAAGCUUAACACAUGCAAGUCGAACGGAUGUAGCAAUACAUUAGUGGCGGACGGGUGCGUAACACGUGGGAAUCUACCUUUAGGUAAGGAAUAACUCAGGGAAACUUGUGCUAAAACCUUAUAAUGUCUUCGGACCAAAUAUUUAUAGCCUAAAGAUGAGCCCGCGGUAGAUUAGCUAGUUGGUGGGGUAAUGGCCUACCAAGGCAACGAUCUAUAGCUGGUCUUAGAGGAUGAUCAGCCACACUGGGACUGAGACACGGCCCAGACUCCUACGGGAGGCAGCAGUGGGGAAUAUUGGGCAAUGGGCGAAAGCCUGACCCAGCUAUGCCGCGUGAAUGAUGAAGGCCUUAGGUUGUAAGUUCUUUACGGGAAGAUAAUGACGGUACCGGAGAAAAGCUCCGGCUAACUUCGCGCCAGCAGCCGC
rnacentral:rRNA from 1 species